GACUUCAAAUCAGGAAGAACCA
rnacentral:rRNA from 1 species